CUUCCUGACAGCGCCUCCGUAUUGUUCCCUGGGCCAGAGGCAGCGGCAGGCAGCGAGGGGGCCUCUGUCAUGUUUGGGCCACAGCCAGCAGCAGUCCACCUUCUCUCCUGUAAGCACCUUCCUUUUCCAUCUGGGGAGGGAAGCUGAGAUGGCCCAUCAGCUUGACAGGCAGCCUUGUCCCUGGUCCCUGGGGGCUGCCUCGUGAUUCGUGCCAGCCAUUGCCGGACGAAUACCUGUUGCAGGAAGCACACUGCUGACACUUGACGAUGCUCCCAGAGCUAAGGAGGAAUGGCAGUUUCUGCAAGAGGAGGGAGAAGCCACCCCCACCGCACACUUUGCAGCCAGGGACCGUGAACUGAAGCAACUCCAUUUUCUGUGGUGGACAGAGGUUAACCCAGGAUCUGGAGGAAAGCAAGCUGAGUUUGAACGUGAGCCAGUGUGUGACUGUAGCUAACGUGUAUCUCACAUGGAAGAGAUUGGGGCUGUCCUCAUUUACUGUCUCACAGUGCCUGUGGCUAAGGAAUUCAGAAGUGACAGAGCUGGAGCAGAAUCUCUCCUGAUCAUGUGCUCUGGGUAUUGGAUGGUGGUGAAUUUUCAAGGCUCCACUGAUGCUGUACCUACUCUGAAGAUAGAAAACUGAUGUGAGUGUUGGCAAGAUGCCUUACUCCUAAGACACCUGCAUCUCCACAGGCUGCUCGAGUGUCCUCAUGACACAGUAUCCAGAAGUGAGCAGGCGGGAGGCUGUGGUCGUCUCAGGACCUACUGUCCACAGUCACCAACCAUGACUUCCACGUUAGUAUCUUUGUUAAGAUGAGUCAAUAUGUCUGAGGGGAAGAAGACUGAAUGGAAGAGCACAAAAGACGUGUGACUAUUUCAAAACCAUCACAAUCAAUAGAUACAAAAUAAAAUCACAGUCUCCCAGAGGUGCCCAAGCAUUGUUAGACCACAGUAUUCAUAGAACUUAAUCUAAAUCAGGAGUUGAGGAGGUGGCCCAGGUGCCUCAAACUCAGCUCCUCAUAUGUAGUUGUGGAAAUUAUUUUAACCAGGCAGAGAUGUGUCACAUUUGUUUAUCCUGCAAAAUAUCACUUUAACUGUGUAAAGGUGUGUUAUGCAGUAUUUAUUUAACAAUGUAAGGGUGUAUUUUUAAUUAUGUAAAGAUAUGUUGCAUCUGUUUCACCUUGCCUGCUUAAGGCACCUGAUUGGUCUAAUAAA